GACGAACCGUGCGAACGUUGUUCGGAAUCACUGGGCUUAAAGGGCGCGUAGGCGGGCCGGUAAGUCUGUGGUGAAAGCCCCCAGCUCAACUGGGGAAGUGCCGUGGAUACUGCCGGCCUCGAGGGAGGUAGGGGCGUGUGGAACUUCCGGUGGAGCGGUGAAAUGCGUAGAUAUCGGAAGGAACGCCGGUGGCGAAAGCGACGCGCUGGACCUCUUCUGACGCUGAGGCGCGAAAGCCAGGGGAGCAAACGGG
rnacentral:rRNA from 1 species